UACGUAGGGUGCAAGCGUUAUCCCGGAAUUAUUGGGCGUAAAGAGCUCGUAGGUGGUUUUGUCGCGUUGUCCGUGAAAAACUCACAACUCAAUUGUGGGCGUGCGGGCGAUACGGGCAGACUGGAGUACUGCAGGGGAGACUGGAAUUCCUGGUGUAGCGGUGGAAUGCGCAGAUAUCAGGAGGAACACCGGUGGCGAAGGCGGGUCUCUGGGCAGUAACUGACGCUGAGGAGCGAAAGCGUGGGGAGCGAACAGG
rnacentral:rRNA from 1 species